CUCAUGAACUGGGCCGGGAAAGCAAAGCAUUACGGGGCUUUUAUUGUAAUAAUAUCUCCCGCCUCUGGAUUCUCUCUAUUCUUUGUUCCACACGCGCAUACACUGGUGUUACAGUCGGUUUCGAAGAGCAGAGAACGAGAAGCAAGGUUCUAUUGCAUAAGUUAUACUAAUUCGGAAUGCCCUGCUCAUGUCUUGAUCUUGUUUCUAAUGGCACCGAAUCUAUCAUCCAUGCAAUCAUUUGGUGUUGUUCUGUGACCAGAAGAACGAGAAGAAGCCUCUUUUCGAUUACAAGUCUCUAUUUAUCUAUCCCCUGAUUAAAGAUUCCAUUUCAGUGUUGUAGUGGAAAAUGGUUGACGACUGUAAUUUUCUCUAAAGCUGAGAGAGGAUAUAGAAAUGCUUUGGGUAGAAACGUGAGGCACUUACUAUAUUUCAAAUAUUCUGGAUUUUCCUUUCGAGUUGCCGGUUUAAUAAUUCCGUCUUCGGGAUAUCAAAAUUGUGUUCUCGAUCUAAGCAUACAUCGAAGGAAAGGUUGUUUGAAGAAGUAGACCAUCAUGGUAGGCAAAUUACAUCAGAUCAGUAAAAGUUGCUUAAUAUGGUAAUGAGUGUGUUGACAGAUGAGUAUUCUUUUGCGUUAGCUCUCUUUAUCGACUUUUUUUUUUUUUUUAAGAAUUUCUUUGCUGCAAGAGACCUUUUCUUCUAGACGAUGUUUAAUGUUAGCAAAUAAAAUUACAGUAAUUAGUAGCUAUAGAAACUUGAUGGUGACAAAAUACUCUGGCCAUGUGUGAAAAAAACUUUUGUAAGUGUCAGCAAGAAAUUGUAGUAGAAGGGAUGAAAAAGGUGACAGGGAGAAUAAAAACUGACAUGGUUUGAUUAUUAUGAUAGCAAGAUUUGUGUUUAUGUUGUGGAGAAUAUGACUCUAAACUUGAUGUAGAUGAAAGAAAUACAAUUUUGGUUGAAGAACUCAACUUGCUGGGGAUUGAGGCGUGCUUGAGUUGAGGUGAAGAAAAUUUUCUUCAGUUUCAUUUUUCAUAUAAAACAGUUUGUUGUUUUUGCAGUAAAAUAGGAAAGACAUGUGCCAUCUUCCUAUUUGUUUGGAUUAAAACUGUUUAUAUCAAUCAAGGGUUCUCAUGAAAGGAUUUCUAUGGAAUUUAGGGUGUGGCUGUUUAAUCUCAGUGCAAAACAGUAUUUCCUUGAUCGUAGAAAGCAGCUAACAGUAUUUAGAAAAAAAAUAGGAAACUUCACUUAAGGCUGUCUUCCUCUUGCUUGGAAGUUUUCUUUUUUCUUUUCUUUCUUUUUUUCUUCUUCUUCUUCCUUUUUUUUAAAAAAAGAAUCAGUGCUAUUGUUUGGCUAUUUUUUACUUACAAAGUUUUGUAGUUAAGCUAUUCAGGCUUGAUGAGAAUUCAUACUUCUAUUACCUUUUCCUUUACUUUUGAAUUUUUUCCCCUCCAUGGCAUGGGCAGGUUGCAGGUAUUUUCUGUUGGGUAAAAUGUGAUCUAGUUAGAAUAUUUUUUUGUCAUUUUCUUAAUGAUAAUAUUGUAGGCCUUUUAAGGCAAGGGUUAUUGCUGGUUUAAUUAUGAUAGAGAUCAAUGCAAAUAGCUGAGAAAUUGAUCAUGAAGAUUUUCAGAGGAAAAGUGCCUGGCAGUUCGUAAUCAAGAGGAAUCAGCUCUCAUGGGUUCUGGUGGCUUUCAUGAUUUAAUCGAGAAUGAAACAGCUUGAAAGCAAUUUAGUGUGAAUGCCAAAGAUGCUACAAAUUAUUUUGAUGUCUUCUUGGCAUGUAAAAGAUUUCCCGCCAUUGUUUUGGAUAGUGUUUUUUUCCAGUGGAACUGCAUGAUGAGCCUGACAUGAAAGGCCUUUUAGCAGCUACAAGUCUGGAAGGAUGUCUUCCAAAUGCUAUGGGUGUGAACUGUGUUGAUCCAGAUAUUCUUCAUGAGCAGUGGGCUUCUCCACACACCCUUUCAAAUGUGAACUCUACCAUGCCAAAAGAAUUAAGAAGUGAAAGUUCAUACAUAAUAAGUGAAUUUAGGGAACAAAAUAUAUAUGCAUCAAAAGAAUUGAAUUUUUCCCAGUUUGCCCUUAUAUUCUCCAGACGUGACUUUGGAAACUGAAGAAAAACUAGGUCAUAAAAUUCGCACAGAAGAAUCUGCUACCAAAGUGGAGCUUGAAUUGCAAGAAAAUAAACCUAUCAGUUGCCUACCUUGGUUAAAUACUAGGCAACACUGUCAGCUGGAAAACUGUGGUUUUCACAUGAUUGGUCUGUUGUGUGAAAACAUAAAGUUCUUUUAUGUUCUUAUAAUUAUAAUAGGACAUGGGUUCACAUUCUUGUCAUGUUCGUGCAGUCACGGUAGUUUCCGCAACCUUUUCCUCAAACUUAUGCUGAUUUGCAGAAUGCACAUUUUGGAAUAGAAGAUGGACAGUAUUUGAUUUCUAUUGGGAAAGCAACAUCUUCCAGGGCAGUCAGCCAGUUAUUCGUGGGCAUUUACUGAAGUGAUUCUGGGUUAUGAGAUCGUAAACAACGAAUCGAAGCAUGCGGUUGAUGACAUUAAUACUGGAGGAAAGAAAACAAUUUAUUUGCACCUUUAAGAAAUAUUUUUGUGGCACUCGUUUUACUCGUCUGCCUUUUCUUAAAAGACUCAAAGAGAAGCACAAAUUGGGAGAUGCCUGCGUUAGUGGUAAGGCGAGUAGGUUUGAUACUGUUUUUUUUUUUUUAUCUGUUUUGAUCAAGAGAUACCAGUUGUCCUCAUAUUUUUUCAUCCAAGAGUGUUAGCUUGAGCAAGGGUAAGAUAUUUGUAAUGAGUCCCAUUACUGUGUAUUUCAUCUUCUUUCGGCCUACUGAUUCUAUGAAAAAAGACUUUGCCCAAGGCAUUUUUUUUAAUAUUUCCGACGAGGACGCCGUUGCUCAAUCCUGUAGACUAAUUUACUUAAAGUUACUCGAGCAUUUUUUAAGAACUUAGUUUCCAUGGAAAAAAGCAUUUAUGAGCUUUUGGAUGGUGUUUUUCUUUCUUUAGUUUUUUGUUUUUUUUACUUCCGCGUUUGAAACCUUUUAUGGAAGUUGUUCUUUCCAGAAACUAGCCUUGGAGGUAUUUUUAUGACUCUGCUAGCUCUUCUACAGAAUAAUUGAAAGUGAAUAUGCUUGGGGAUAUAUUCACUAUUUAAGUAAGAACAACGCUAGGGAUAAAAAAAACAUGCAAGAAAAAACUUCAAGAAUACACCUGAGCUAAUCCAACGGUUCAUGUGUUCUUGGAGUUUUUUCUAGUCGUAUCUCUUAAUGUUUAGUAUUCCUCCCGAGUAACUUGCAAUAAUGAACAUGGCCAGCACAAAUGAUUUACGUAGUUAAUUAGUGCUAGAAACUACGAACACAAAUGAGGUAUACUGUUGUAAAUAACUCAAAUUUGACUUAGAUCUAACCCUUGCUUUAAUUAUCAACUUCUCAAACAAGCCUAUUUAUGUUGUUCUUAUCUUAAAUCAGAUAUUAUAUGCUUGGCAAAACGAAGCUUCUAUAAAAACUAGUUUCUUAACUGAUUUUGUAUAAACACAGCUUGUGACGUGCCACUAUGCGUUACUCCAGUCUGUCUAGGACUGUUUCCAAAAAGAUACUGAAAUCACAUCAAUAUUUGUGGUUUAUCGAUUUCUUGAGCUGUUUAGUUCCUGCAGAUGCUCAUUUGCCAUCAGCGUUAACAGUUUUCUGAAAAAGCAAGUUUGAAUUCUAAAGUGUGUUCAAAACUACUUUGUGAAUGUCGUUUUGACAAUGUGGUACAUAUUUGCCUUUUCUUUUUUGCUAGGAGGGGUCUCUUUCAGCUUUGCUUGCAUCGACUCUUUUGGCUCAUUUCCGCUACGUACGAUGUUCUGGAUUGCUAGGCUACACGCCAUGGCAAUAACUAGUUUCAAGGACAGUGGAAAUGUCCCAGACAUUUAAAAUGAAACAAGGUUCAAGGUUAACGCAGAGUGCAAAAGACCAGGAAUUUGUCUGUCGGCUGAUUUCUUUGAGCUUUGUUUGGUCUCCGGCUUCAAAUAACUACAAUAGGGCUCCAUGGUGAAAUGGGAGUCCCGGGUUGAGAGGAUGGGAAAGCACGUUUUUAUGUAUGGAAAUAGUCCAUGAAAAGGUGUCCAGGUAAAUAACGGGAGGAAACGUAGUCCAGUAUUUGCAUAUUCAUAUCAGAAUUCAACUUUCCCCUUCUAAAGGCAAUCGGGCUGGUAAAACUUUUUACAUCUGUAGAGAAAUUAAGUUGCAGAGUUGCCAAUGAGGCGGACAAUACAAAGAAGCCUUUCUACUGCUUAAAAGGCUGUUGAGUUGGUGACGAUACGAUGGGGUUCUUUUCCUCUCUUUUUUCUUAUUCGUGCAGUGGGUACCUUACUUUGUGAGAGUUGAAUCGUAUGAAUUAUGACUACCGUGAGGAAAAGGUUUCUCUGGGUGCAAAAGAAGUGUAUUAGAACACCAAUUAUACCGAUCUCACUUUGCUCAGAAACAUUUAUUUGUUUCGUAGUUCAAGUUGGUGAGAUGAUUUCAAUGAUGAGGCAAAUAUCAAUACGCUGCCAGAUUUAUGAUCUGUUUGGGCACGUUGUAUUUAUAAACAUUUAUUUAUAACUCAUCUCAAGCUUGCGCGCUCAGCAGAGGAUAUAUUUC